rnacentral:rRNA from 1 species
GACGAACGCUGGCGGCGUGCCUAAUACAUGCAAGUCGAGCGAAGUUUUUCUGGUGCUUGCACUAGAAAAACUUAGCGGCGAACGGGUGAGUAACACGUAAAGAACCUGCCUCAUAGACUGGGACAACUAUUGGAAACGAUAGCUAAUACCGGAUAACAUUAUUUCUCGCAUGAGAGAUAUUUAAAAGUUGGUUAUGCUAACACUAUGAGAUGGCUUUGCGGUGCAUUAGCUAGUUGGUGGGGUAAAGGCCCACCAAGGCGACGAUGCAUAGCCGACCUGAGAGGGUGAUCGGCCACACUGGGACUGAGACACGGCCCAGACUCCUACGGGAGGCAGCAGUAGGGAAUCUUCCGCAAUGGGCGAAAGCCUGACGGAGCAACGCCGCGUGAGUGAAGAAGGAUUUCGGUUCGUAAAGCUCUGUUGUUAGGGAAGAAUGGAUAUGUAGUAACUAUACAUGUAAGAGACGGUACCUAACCAGAAAGCCACGGCUAACUACGUG